GCUGCGCGGCCCCAGAAUGGUGCCGUUAGGAUUAUACCUGGAAAGAUAUUGCAUCACGCAUGUUAUCGCAAACGGUUUAGUUUCAUCAACAAUAGUGAGUUCUUUUUCGCAAGUUAUGUGUAGAAGCUCCAAUCCUUCUCCAUGUGACAGGAGGCCUGUGCCCAGCAGUGGGACGAUAAAAAGGCUGAAACAUGUGUAGAAGCUCACUGUAGGCUUCCCAAUUAGGGAGAAGUACUAUAUACAAUGUGUACCAUAGACAAAAGUAUUUAUCUGGCAAAGAAAUUAGUUUUUUGUUAAAAAGUAAUAAAAUUUCAAUUAUGAUUUAUUGUAACACCAUAAUUGUCUAAAGGGCUCCAGAAGGAAUAGAGAUGAGUUUUAGUAAAGUGGAAGUUUGACCUCUCAAAAUACACAAAGCUGGAGUGGUCAUCUGAUGAUAUCCCACAAAAAAGAGAAAGAAAUAUGGAUGAGACUCAUAAACGUCAUAAGAUAAGAAGACUGUCUGGCACGUCAAGGUCGCAGGACGCAGCUGGCAACACGAAUGCUAUGCCAAUCAUCUCAAUGAUGGCCGCGAACAGAGUGAACAGCAUCAGGAAGUUGUGUACGACUUGGUAUCUGCCGGUGCCUGUGGAAAAUGUUAUAGGUUUUAGCAUGAAGGUGUUUUGCUAUGUUGGAAUUUUAUAACCUUUCUUGGCAAUAGUGUAAAAAAAACAAGCUGUAAUAAAGACUAAAUACUUGACUA